GAUGAACGCUGGCGGCGUGCCUAAUACAUGCAAGUCGAGCGAACGGACGAGAAGCUUGCUUCUCUGAUGUUAGCGGCGGACGGGUGAGUAACACGUGGAUAACCUACCUAUAAGACUGGGAUAACUUCGGGAAACCGUAGCUAAUACCGGAUAAUAUUUUGAACCGCAUGGUUCAAAAGUGAAAGACGGUCUUGCUGUCACUUAUAGAUGGAUCCGCGCUGCAUUAGCUAGUUGGUAAGGUAACGGCUUACCAAGGCAACGAUGCAUAGCCGACCUGAGAGGGUGAUCGGCCACACUGGUACUGAGACACGGUCCAGACUCCUACGGGAGGCAGCAGUAGGGAAUCUUCCGCAAUGGGCGAAAGCCUGACGGAGCAACGCCGCGUGAGUGAUGAAGGUCUUCGGAUCGUAAAACUCUGUUAUUAGGGAAGAACAUAUGUGUAAGUAACUGUGCACAUCUUGACGGUACCUAAUCAGAAAGCCACGGCUAACUACGUG
rnacentral:rRNA from 1 species